UGUCAAACCCAAAUCCCCUAUAUUCCCAGUCGCGUUUCUUGAAACGGAUAGCUUUUUCGUGAACGGUUGGGAGAGAGAGCGAGCGAAGUCAGAUAGUUCUUCCCUUUUUAUUCUCCUGUGUUGGCCUCUUUCUUCUCAAUUUUUUUGAACGACUGAGAGAGAGGAACAUUGGAGAAGAAGAGGUAAUGGCAAAGAAUUCUCCACCCGCGGAUUCUAGAGAAUGCGACCCCUUUGUUGCUCAGAUCAGACUGCUGCUUCCGAGGCCAAGACCGAUGUCACUCCUCCGAUCGCCGGCUGAUAUGCCUAGGGCUUCGUUCUCUUUGUGGAGCAUAUACAAGAAGCAGAACCGGAAAUUUCUUUUAUGAUUUCCCAGCACCAUGCUCAUACCUAUCCAGAGAACAAUAACGCAGCACCAUUGAAAUUUUCAAGGGUGCUUUGGUGAAACGUCUUGGAUUUUGAAGUUAGAGAAAGGUACUAUUGUGAUUACCGCGAUACCUAUUUGACUCACGAUCCUCUAUCUGCAAGGAAGUAACAUAUUUGCAGGUUAUAAACAUAAGGCAAAUGUGAGGUUGUACUGCCAGCAAUUUGAAGAGCAACAAACCCAAAGUACAUCUUGGGCAAGCUACAACUAUUCAGCAGGUGAGUGCUUCAACCUCUCAGUUCUUCAAUUUUCUUCAUUUUUCAGGUAUGUGCUCGAGAAAAUGAUUCUCCGGAUUACUCCUUAAUCUGUGGUUUUGGAGAUUGAUUUGCAUGUGAAUAGUUAGUUUUCUUCUCUGAUUAAAAACCAAAAAUGCUUGGAUUAUUGCGAUUUGGAUUCAAAAGCAAAAGGGAAUAAUGAAAACAUAGGUUGCUGACUUGGUUUGCUUUCUGUUAUAAACUGUUAAAUAAAUAACAUGCUGUCUUAUGUAUGUUUCCAAUUAAUUGGUUCUAUUCUUAGGAGUAUGACCAUAUUACUUAAAACUGAGAACAUUUAUCUUGGUUAUAGUUUUUGCAUCGUAGAUAUUGAUUAUGAAGGAGAUUGACUCUUUUUAUCAUAUUUCUCCGGCAGUAGUGGAAAAUGAAAAUCCUUUGAAAGUGCUUUAUUCUCUUAUUUCAAUUUUCUCUAAUAUUUCUCAGAGUAGUUAUUCGUUUCUGAAAUCUCUCAACUUUCAUAAGGAUAUUGUUGUUCAAACCAAGUUUUAAACUUUCCGGUGAGCAUAAACAAAAGUUUUAAUUGUGAUUCAUCUGCUUAGGGAAGAAUAAAGUCACUUUUAAUUAGAAAAUAGAGGUUUCACAGUUACAAAAAUAAAUUGUCAUGAGUUAUUAUGCAUUAAGUGCGUUUAAGGGCCAUCAUUAUUUGCUAUGUAACCACAUAGCAUUAGCUUUAUGUCUAUUUAAGAUUUUUAAUUGAGGUGUUAUUAUGUAUUGAUUAUGAAUUACUCUUGAAUAAAUGGAGUACCAUCUCAGGUAGCAUUUGCUUAGAGAAGAAAUUAUAAAGUCACUUUUAAUUAGAAAAUUGAGGUUUCACAUUUACAAAAAUAAAUUGUCUUUAGUUAUGCAUUAAGUGUGUUUAAGGACCAUCAUUAUUUGUUAUGUAACCACAUAGCAUUAGCUUUAUGCCUAUUUAAGAUUUUUAAUUGAGGUGUUAUGUAUUGAUUAUGAAUAACUCUUGAAUAAAUGAAGUACCAUCUCAUGGAGCAUGUGUAGGAUGUGUGAUUGAAUAAUAGAAUUCCUCAUUACAAGAUAGAGGCUGAGUGAUAUUUCAUGGAUUACUUUUUCCAUCUUUUCCCCUGGGUUACAACGCUUACUGAAAUUGAUUUUUAUUUGCAGACUUUGGACUUAAGGUUAUUUCAUAGAUUAGUUGACUUUUAAGAAUUUUAUGGGUUUCAGAUUCGAUGGUAUUCAUGACCUUUCUAGAUUGCUACUAAAAAAAAUGACCUUUCUAGAUUAUUUCUGUGUUAUAUUUGACGGAUUGUAAAUGUUAUCGUGAUACUUUGUGCGGUCUUUUUAGGGUAAUUGAGAAGUCCUCUAAAGAGUAUGUAAAUUAAACAAAAGGGUGUGCUCAUGAGCAAAGUUCACUGAAGAGUAUAUGUAAAUUAAAAAGAAGAGUGUGCUAAUUAAUCAUAGGUAGCCAUAUUAACUA